rnacentral:rRNA from 1 species
CAAUACCGCGUGAAUGAUGAAGGCCUUAGGGUUGUAAAGUUCUUUUAGUAGGGAAGAUAAUGACGGUACCUACAGAAAAAGCCCCGGCUAACUCCGUGC